UUUCCACUUCUUUCGUAGCAGCAGCAGAUCACAGAGCUCUUUUCAGCUCAUCACAAGAAAAUACAAAAGCAGAAUGGAAAGAGAAAUGAAUGAAUGAAUGAACGAAUGAAUGGAGGAACAGGAUAUGGAGCAGCAGAAUGUGCAGGAUUAUUAAACAUAUGGAGAAGAGAGAAAGAGAAAAAUGGCAAAUAAAAAGUUACAAUCUAAAGAACCAAAGACACUGUUAAUUAGACAGAACAGCAUUAAUAGUGGCAAACCAAACUUUUCUGACAUAUCAGAGUUUCAGAAGAGUCACAGACGAGAAAGCAGCAGCUCUGUUCAUCUGACCAGCAGAAUAUCCUCCAUGUUCAGCCUUGAUUAAACAAUGUGUAUUUUAUAUUUAAGCAUUAUCUGAACCAGAGCAAGGUUACAGUAUUAUAGCCUACUACAUAAUUUAUAAAUGUAAAGUCUAUUUAUACAAUUUCUUCUUGUAUACCUUUAGUAUAUAAGCUGAAUGUGUAUUUGAGGACCACAAUGGAAAUAAGUGUGUAACUUUCUUGUGUUCCUUGACAGUUCUGAUUAAUGUAUAAUUGUCACUGUGAUGGCAUCUUGUUAUGCAUUUAUUUCUGUUACUUUCUAACAAAUUAAAUCAAUCAAUCAUAAAUGUAUACAUAAAGCAUAUUCAGAUUUCAUUAGUACAGUGUUUUUCCUAAAAGUGUGACUUCGAGAGAAAUCAUUGAAGUAAUCAAUAUGUUUGCUCUACAGUAUGUUACUGUAUGAUGUAACGUAGAUGCUUAAUAUUUUGGAAUUAAAAUAAAUUUUACUGUAACAUCUAAACUACUUGUUUUGUGUUAACUUUCUUAAUGUACUUUAUACUUUAAUAAAAAUCAGCAAAAGAGAGAUCAAUGUGUUUUGACAGAACGGCGCUGCAAGAAUC